rnacentral:lncRNA from 1 species
UGACUUUGUUUUCAUUUUAGCCGUUAAUGAUAGGUCAUCAUCAUGCAUCUGUGUAAGGCAUCUUCUAUCAGAAAAAGGUUUGGUUUUACUGAAGAUAUCUUUUGGAUCUUCUGAAAGUUUGUAGCUUUUAGAAUACGCUUGCUAUGAUAGUGUUGUUGCUAGGAUAAUUCCAAGUAUCAGAAGUAGUACAGUUACACAUAUAAUUAUGAAUAUCAAUUUCCUUCGUGCUUUACUUUGAUAUUUAACCGCCUUCUUUGUCUCUUCUUUAGCAUGUUCCACAUAAUCUGUUGCAUUCAUCACGUUCUUUUCUAUGUUGUUGAUCAUUUCACCCUGAGUCUCAACAAACAUAGCCAUGUCCAUAAACAUUUCAUGUAGUUCCCGUAUACUGGACUCCAGUUUCAUAAUAUCCUUGUGCCGUGACUCAAUUUCAUUCAGAGCUUGCCUAGUUAUUUGGGAGUCUGAUAUAAUGUCAGAAGUGAAAAUUGAAGGAUUACCACUCUCUAACAUUUCUUCCAGUUCCUCAUCAGUAGUGGUCUUUCCAGUUAUCUCUAAUUGCCUCUGUAUCCGACCUUUGCUGCGUUCUCGAAAAAGAGUUUGGGUCUCGUUGUAUUCCGUCAUGACCUCCACAAACUUGUGAGCUAAUACAGAGUGCUGAGUUUUCCUUAUUCUGACAUUCACUGAUGUUCGAUUUGCAUUUUCACUCUGAUCAACGCUUUGUUCAAUAGCUUUUAACCUAGCUCGGAUUUUAUUAGCAGUCUUCUUUAUUUCCUCAUUUAAUUCUUCAAGUUCCUCUUUCGUUCUCCCUUCAGGAUUUGGGGCUGACAAGAUAAUGCUGUGCUGUUUUUUCACUUCUUCCACAUUUUGUGCUAUUUUUGUUAUGUUAUUUCUAAUUUCCUCAACCUGUUGGAAAAAGUCAUCCAUAAAAUGGUCUUUUUCAACAAUAACAGUCUCUCCAUCUUCAUUUCCUUUACACUCUGCCAGGUCAGCCAGCCGGUCCUUCAUCCCCACAGCGCCUCAGCUCCUCGCCGAGUGCCGCUCCCGCGGGUCCGCUCUCCCUUCGUAGCCCGCCCGCAGCAGCCUCCGUAGCCGCCACCGCCCCGCUCAGGCCGGGCCCAAGCGCUCGGGCCCCGCCCUCCUUCCGCGGUGCGAGGGGCAGCGGCCGCGACCCCUCCCCACACAACGUCACGACGAACCGGAGCCUACGGUGCAGCGCGCACGCGCGCCCCGGGGUGACGCUACGCGGCCACGCGCAUGCGGCCUCGCGCCCCCGGCGGCGUCCGCUGCACCGGGAAGCCCGCCUUGGCUCUGCUGACGACACGACGGGCGAUGCUGGGCGGGAAGGGAUCUGCGGCUGCGCGAGCGGAGGAGGCGGGGUUGUGCCGUGAGGAGAAUGGGCGGGAAAGCGUACGUACGCGUGCAGGGGCGCGCGCGGCUGUACGGUACUGCAGUGACCUGCAAGGCAGUUCCGGUCUCGAGGCAGCAGUGCUGCCCGAUACAUCCGUUCAAGAAACCGUGACUGUCGCGAGGGAGAGAGUUGUAAAACGUUGUCAUAUCGUUGAAUUUAAUGUCGUGUUUCUCUGGUGUGUGAUGUGGAUGGGCUUCUCAAAAUCACGGUUAGUCCCAGAAGCGCACAGACCGCCCCUCCCUCGGCUGCUGCUCACCCAUUUCUGAGCGACCCAUGUCUGACUGGAAGUGCGAAGCGCACCCUCCUGCAGCAGGAGAUGGGUCAUCCGCUCUUUGUAACUCUCCAGCUACAAAGCCUUGAGAAGCAUUGCCUUUCAGUGAUAGGAUCCCCGGAGCAGUGCCUGUGGUCUCACAGGAAGGCAGCUCUGGGAUCUUGCCAAAGCCCGGGCGGGUGCAGCAGCAGGUAUGUCUGACAGGCCGGAGAGGUCCUGUGGAGCAGCUCAUGGGUGUCUGAUGGGAAAACCUCCAGCAGUGCUGUGGUUUUGCCCGUGGGUGUGAGCUGCCACGUAAGCCGUCAGAUCGCAGACUCACCUGGAAGUGUCAGCACCUCCUUCUGUUUAAAUAGACUUUAGGUUACAAGAUCAGCAACUGCAGUUUCUAAAGAUCUUAUCUGGGAUACUGAGCAGCACUAGUAAUAAUUUUCAUAUAUUUAAAGAAUUUUAUUCUAGUGUUAGACUGGGAAUUUAAACUUCAUGAAUUAGCAUUAUGAGCUAGUUCCCUUCAAACCUUUCAGUGCAGUUUCUGGUGUUGCCUUGAAUAUCAGUGCAGACCUUGGCUCCUGUUGGAGCUCGUAUUCCAGAGAUGCUUCUACAAUCACUGCUUGACCUGAGAGGUAUGUCCACAUGCUGUUAUCUUUGUCACAGUUUACAAAAUGAUUUUGUUUCCUACUAAUAGGGCAGUCAUUAAGAUAAGAUACUGUUCAGCUCUAUAACUGUGUAUCUGUUGGUACCUUUUGUACCAUUCCUCAUGGGCACCUUCAGACCCUUACUGAAGGGCUGCCUUUUACCUUGCACACUUGUCUGCUUUGGUGAGAUGCUGAGUUUGUUCAUGGCUGACCCAAAUCAAGAUAUAGGGAAUAUCAUGUAGGAGUGUUUUAAAGGUAAUUAUCCUGCUGAUUAUCUAGUGAUAUCUGGUGGACGUUAAUCUCUUAUGUAGUGAUCUAACACUGCCGAUGAACACUUGGAAGCAUUCUGUUGCCUUUUCUGAAUGCAGCUAUCUGCAGCAGGAGUUUUGUACAUCCUCUGAACAGAACAUUUACUUCUCCAUGAUGAUCACACCUGGAUCCCACACAGUAAUUUAUAAGAAUGUGUAAAUAUUUGACGGGAGCUCAAAACUUAUGGUAAGGGACUUUUAGCCACCGAUUUUACUCAUUUCAAGUUACACUAUCAGUAUUACCGCUUAUGUUUGAGGAAAGAAAAGGCUGUUUACUAACACAUCCGUAACUAUUGAGAAGUUUGUGAAGUACACUGAGCAUUCUACACAUAAAGUUAGAGACUGAUCCUUUUUUUUCCCCUGGAAGUGUUUAUAUUCUUAAAAACUGCCAACCUCCAUUAAGGUGGCUUUGUGGGCUCCUAUUUAUAAAUGUACACCUCUUUGUCAAGAAGAAGGGUGAAAUGUAUGGGCUACAUAUUCCAAAACAUAUUCUUCCUGGCACCUAGAGGUAAUCAGCAAACGUGCUAAAGAACACCAACAAAACAAGCACCAAAAUCCCAAUGUGUCCAAAACAACAACAACAACAAACCCCAACAACAAAAGCAAGUCAAGCCAGUUCAGCAAGGCAGUGCUUUUUCCAACCAAGCAAAUCUAUGCAAUGCUUGGAUUGGUGUUACGCUACCAAAUAAGCAAAGUGUGCAGCAGAGUGCAGUGACCCCUGUCCAUUUUCUCUCCAUACUGCCACUGAGCGGGAGAUGAACAAGACAUGAGCUGCACUUGCACGUAACGCCUACCAAUGAAUAACAUCGGUGCUAUUUCAGCCCAGGGGCAUUUAAAAAUCCAUCCAGUCUACAUUAUGGAUGCUCCAACCGGCAUUACCAGACAGACCGCAUGAACAUGGCCUAACAGCAGGGGAAACAUCAGCACACAGACAUCGGUGUGCAGCCAGGAACUUGGAACGCAUCGACCUGUGCAAAGCAUCUUCUCCGUUCUUUCAGAGUUCGUGAACAACUUUGUUCCACUAGAAUCUGAUUGUGAGGGCUCAGAGAGCUGUUACGGGGUAGCGCGGAGCCGCAGAGGGCUGCAGAGUAGCACUGCCCAGCUGCCUCCUUCCCAGCGGGAGCCGCGUGGCCCGGCGGCUGCCGGCCUUGCAGAGGC